UUUUCGUACCACGGCGAGGCCGGAUUCCUGUUUUAUCAUGAAUAUUCAUUAGGCAGGGUCGGGGAAAGUCUCGAUUCUCUUAAAUAUUCAUAUCGAGGUGGGAAUGCACGACGCGCGCUAUACUCGCACAAAGUGAGAAGAUUUAGUUCACGGAGAAUGCAUAUGGAUUGAAACUGAAGAGCUGGAAGGAGGACAUUACAACAUCUCUUAUAUUUGCAAGAUGAAGCAGAAAGUCCCAUGCAGGAUGAUGCCUCUCUACAGUGGAUGAUGAAGGCAUUCUGGUUUGCAAACUCAGGAGAGGAACAAAGAACAGAUGUUGACGGGAUCAUAUCUAGAGAUGCGGGCCUACUACACUUCAUACGAGCAAGUGUGCUAUUAUACAUGAAGACUUGGGUUAUAUUUUUUUCUGAAAACUAGGCUACAACUUUAGUGAUGGAUGCAGAAGAUAUCUACACGAGACUACGUCUUAAAGAUGCCACCCUCAUAUAAUGAAAAAGGACAAUAGAGAUGGGUUUAAACUGGAAUAUUUACAUGAUAUUUAUUUGUUAUUUGU
rnacentral:lncRNA from 15 species